AUGUGCAAUCUUCUCCCUACUUUAUGCUUUAGGCUUUUAGCCUUGUUGUACCUCCAUGGUGCAAACAAGUUGCAAGAUAGGGCCAUGUUCACCCUCACAACAUCCAAAAACAUGGACCACCUAUUUUCAUGCCAUUCACAUGUUCAGAGUUUUGUCAAAAGGACAAAGACAACAACAAAUCAGAAAAGAAAAAUCCAUUGCCCUUUAGUUAUGAACUUUCCUGCAUCAACCAUAAAAUGGUCUUUUUUUUCUUCUUUCUGUCCCUACUCGUUUCACUGUCGAAGGUUUCAAAUACUUGGUCCAAAAUGA